rnacentral:lncRNA from 1 species
CUUCGUUCAUCAAGGAGCCCUUCUCUUCUCGUGGAGAAGCCUAGGGUUCGUUCUUGAUGGGCGCGGAAGUGCUCGUCGCCGUCGCGCUUUCCAUGGUGGAUCGAUUGAGCGCCUAGAUCGGUACGUGAAGUUAGCUCUUGAUUUGAUCGUCUAUUGAUGCAUCUGAUCUUAUAUGCACACACUACCAAAUAAUUUCUGGAAUAUAACCUAAACUUGGAUCGUCAGAUCUAUCCGAACUCUUUCUUUUUCCUCUGAAACUUCCGAGACAGAACUCAACUCAGUUCGUAUUGCCGCAAUCUCGGUUGGUAUUUUAUCUGCAUUAUAUAUCAACGGGAGUCACUCGAACAGGUCAUUCGAGGUUUCGUGUUUGUUCAAAACAAGAUUUAGCAUAUAUAUAUAUAUAUAUAUAUAUAUAUAUAUAUAUAUAUAUAUAUAUAUAUAUAUAUAUNNNNNNNNNNNNNNNNNNNNUAUAUAUACUAUAUAUAUAUAUAUAUAUAUAUAUAUAUAUAUAUAUAUAUAUAUAUAUAUAUAUAUAUAUAUAUAUAUAUAUAUAUAUAUAUAUAUAUAUAUAUAUAUAUAUAUAUAUAUAUAUAUAUGUAUGUAAUGUUGGGAUACAGGUGCUCGUAUGGGAUCUAUGUAUAUGACACCAAGGUUUCACCUGGAAUUGUUGGUCAGAUCUUUUACUUAUUUGUGAUGUCCUAUGAGCAUUAGAUCGAACUCAACAUCCGAACUAGUUGAAAAUCGUCAGAGUGUCUGAUGGUCUUCAUUUUUUUUCUUUUACUUGAAUGAAUAAUCAUUGCCGCUAAUUGUAUCUUGUUGGAGGAAGAAAGAUCAGAAUUGCUUUUUUAACCAAAGCAUCUGAGUGUGCCAUGUCAUCUAUACUGCUGAAGCAUGAUUGUGUUGAUUUCUUAUGUCCUGCAUUAGAACUUGACCAUGUUAGGCAUUGAUUUCAACAGUGUCUAAGUGCAUGAACUUUAACUCUUGGAGCUACUGAGCUCAUGCGUGCUGCCAUUCCCACACAACUGCAGGUAUAUUAUAUAUUCAAUUUCUUUAUUCUGUUAAAGCAAGAUCAAGAUUAAGUUUUCAAGGCUGUGGAGCAGUCUUUCUUCUAGUACAUCUCUUUCUGUAGUUUUUCUUGCUCUGUAAAUCGCCUGAUUCUUUUUAUUUCUACAAAGGUCUUCAGCAGAUUAGCAUGUUAGAAUUCGGUAAUAAGGGAUCAUUAUUUGGACCAAGAUUUUCUUCGAGUGACCAGAAUUGCACUUUGGGAGUAGAUACUGAUUGAUUUGACAGAUCUGGAAAAUUAGUUAAUAGGUGCAACAUUCAUUAUUGUGCAUGAUGAGAUAUGCAUAAUUUUACAGUAAUCAGUUAUCCAACAUAAACUCAAUAGAUGAUACUAACUUGUUUAUGAGAUACCUGUCAUACAAAUUCUCAUCCAUUGUGCCAUCUUUAAAUUGACAGCUUUCUGUCUCUCAUUAUCUGCAUCUCCUUUGACAUCGAAACCUUCAAAUGACAUCCUAUUCUUAGUUGGGUGAGAUUCAGCUAUUUAUUUCUUCAUCUUCGUUGCCCUCCAUGCCUUUUAUCCAAUCCUCGGUGCCUUCAUUUUCUAAUCUGGCUCUAAUUAAUGCUUCAAAGUCAAUUCAACUUCAGCUAUUUGUUACAUGCCCCAUUCUAUAUCACCAUUUAAAGUUCACUUCGACCUUUUGGGACAAUGGAAUCCAACUUAAAUCCAUUUUUUAACAAAAAAUAAGAUGUAGGCAAAAAUCUGAGAACCCAAAGAUUCUUCAAAAAUUAUUGGUUGUCAGGUUUUUUCUUCUACAAUUUUGGUCGGCCAUUAAAUUUAAUCUGUUUGGCAUGAUCAUCUGGACUGGUGCAGCUGCAGUCUAGUUUUUAAGAUUCUUGAAGGAUUACUUGAAUCAGUUUUCUAAUCUCUUCAUAUCAGUUAAAGUUGGCAAGAAAAGAAGUACUCAGUAUUGAAUUAUAUACUUUUGUAUGUUUGCUUCUAUGUUGACCGGUGGAGUGAUGACUUCUGUCAAAAUGCACAGAACACCUCCAUGAAUGAUCUGUUCAUGGCCAUAAAGAAUCUGUUCCAGAAGUUUUUCUUGGCAUGCCUUUCAUGUUUCCUUCAUUCAUUCCCAAUUCUCUAAGAUUUAGUUCUUAAAUCAAGAGACUAUUUACCAACUAAUAAGUGGUCUAGCCAGUGCUUUUUUGAGCACCUCCAUUCAGGAUUUUAUGCUGGUGUCUAGAUAUAUCAUUCACAUGUUCAGAAGAGUAACUAAAAGAAAAAAAAAAUUAAGAAGAAUAGCAAAUACCAGACUUUAAUACCUUCAAUUAUCAGUUAUUAUUUUCAUCCUACAUCCUAACUUUCUCACACUUAUGUUAAUAUGAGUAGUAUUUCUGCCACUUUCAGCUGUGUUACAACCUGUAUUUAUAUUAGAUCGAACCAUUACUGGCAUCAUUUUUCAAUUUGCUUUGCUUAUGGCAGAGCAAGGAACUUGAUCACUCUAUUGCAAUGUUAAAUAAUAUGAUCUAGACAUUUCUUUCAUCCGGCUUUGGCUUUUAGCUUUAUUCUAACUUGCAUAUUGGUGUGUUACCAGUUUGUAUAUCUUAAACAUGAGCCUUUAUAAGGGAAUGAGCUUAUAGUUGUGGUCCUGGUUGACUUUAUCUAGUCAUCAUCUAAAAUGCCUUACAUUGCAAAAUUCCAGACAGGUUCUUUUCUUGCUGCCAUUCUUAAUUAUUGUGUACAGGUGUCAUUCUUAUAUGAAUUAUCUUUUACUUUUAUUCUUCCUACAAAUUUAAGGAGAAUCAAAUUUCAUGUUGUUGGUCUUUUAAUCAUCUUAUUUACAAAUUGUGCUACAAUUCUUUUGCUAUUGCUGGUGGACUUGUUUCAGUCUGCAUCAUAUCAGCCGCCAUUAUCCGAGUAGCUUGAUUAAAUCCUUAGGCACUAAUCUGGACUGUGCAAGAGACAUGACAUGCAUAACUUCAUUCACAUAAUUAGCCUUUACUUCUAUUUAGAACAUAUGUCUGGUGGUUUCCCCAUGCAUUCAUAUUAGAGAUGAUUGAUUGAUUUUAUGAAGAAUGUUCACUUAUUUAAUUAUCUGAUAAGCAUUCAAUGAAUUUUUCCAUUGAUGUUUUUUUGUAUUCUUGUGAGGCAUUAUAAGAGAUAAUAAACAUUAAGAAUAUCCAGCUUUAGAUUUUUUAUACUCAGUUCUUAUGAUAAUCAAACAAUGAUCACAAUAUGACUAAUCUCCUACUCUUGGUUUCUCAUAUUAUCCUUUUAACUUAUUUUUGACUAAUCUAACUCUCAUUUUCCUCAUGAUUAGGGUUGGAAACAGAUCAAAUAUAAAUUAUAUACUUGGAAAACCUUAUUUAUACCUGCUAUUAAUCAUUGGAUGCAAAUAUGAAUAUAAAUAGUGGACAGAUUCUGAAUUUUUUAAUUGCAUUUGUGCUACAUAGAUAUGGUUACAUUUCUGAUAUAUAUAUAUAUAUAUAUAUAUAUAGUGAGCCAUAUAUGUUAGCGAUAAAUAGUUAAGCCAUUGAUUUGGACCCACUAAUGAUAUUUCUUAUAGAAAGUCCAGAAAGCAAAUGUCAGAAUAGUAAGGGAGAAUGGAAAAAGGAGCAAAAAUGUACCUUGAAAACCAUCACAGUUAUCACAUAUAUUUUAGUUCGAUGGCUACAUAUAUUGAGGCCUGUAUAUGAAUAUUGACUCACAGUCUCAUCCAUGUCUAAGAUAAUUAAAUUAACAAAAUUUUGAUAUAGAUGCAGAUAUGUGAUCGAUUUAUAAUGAUAGCUAGGCUAGGCCUUGAGCUACAACAUAACAAACUCUAACGGAUGAUCCAUCCGACCCACUUUCACACUUUAGUAAUAGAAUAUCAUCUUUUUUGCUUAACUCUUACAAUACUGUUACUGAAAAAAAACACUCUCUACUAUUUACAUACAUCCAGAUUUCCAUGCAUUACUAUGGUUGUAUAGUUUUGUUCACUUUCCACCUUCUACAACUUUGGUCUUUGGUAUUCUUUUAGUAUAUGGAUUGAUCUCAUUAUACACAACUAUGCCUAGUAAUCUUCCAUAGGAAUAAGCAGGAUAGGAAUUUCUUUUAAUAUCCAAUAUCAAGAUAUAUUUGCAUGCAGAUGUGCUUGUGUGCAUAUGUAUAUUUCUCGUUUUCCUUCCAUUUAUUUGUAUUACUACACAUAGGUGGGACACACACGAGGCGCUUUAUUGGGUAUUAAACCCUUGACUCGUGGAAAAAUUCUCCUUGAUACAAACUUCUUGAAUGGUGAUUCAAGUCAAUAUCAUGUUGAAAUACUUUUUUUUAUGUUUAGUAAUACAUCAAUUUUUGGUUCAACUUCUUAAUUAAUUCUUUUUCUGAAUCCUUCAUUUUUUAGUUUUAACAGAAUCGAUUUUCAUAUAAUACUUUAGCAAAAUCAUUUGAUUCUUUCUGAACACUAUUAGUUAGAUUUGUUGGAGAAGCUUAACAUGAAUGAGUGGCUGAUAAUGAGGAUGUCCUCUCAUGGUGCUACCAUGGAUCAGAAGAGAUGAUUUCAAGAAUUUUCAGCAAUUGAAACUACCUGAAAAAGCAGAGAAUCUGGAGGUAGUUUUGUUAUGGCAAUGGUUUAUAGAUCAGUUACUUGAUAUGCUGAGUGAGUGAGUUUUAAAUCAAGGAUAUCAAUGAAAUCAAGGAUAUCAAAAUGUAAGCAGAGGGAUACAUAGAAUAUGUGGAAAGCUUCAACUAUUGAAAUUUCAUGAACCGGGGGGAGAGGAUUUAAAACUAGUUGUGAAAAAAGAUGACAAGAUACAAGAGGAGAAAUACAUUGUCUUAUUGAAAUAAUGAUAUCUAACUCUAAGUUGGACUGACAUUCCAACUCGGAAAGUUUUACUGCAUUUUGCAUUUAUUUUCUAAAAACACAUAAAACUCAUCAAAGUGACCUGAAGAGAAGGAAAAGUAAUAGUUUUAUCAUGAAACUUGUGGGUACUUAGCCAUGAACUGAAUGGGAAGAUUUUAUUGUUGGUGCCUUUAGCCCUAGCUUGAUGCUCUGUUGCUGAAGCAACUACUAGGAGCUCUUAUCACUAAACAGCCGUCGUUGCUUAAAGGGUUGACAAGUAUAUUUAUAUUUUUAAGGCCCUUAGAGGAUAAGAAAUUCAAGUAGGAAGAAAACUCUCAUAUAAAAGAAAGAAACCAGGAAUUUAUGGAUUGAUUUUUAUAUAAAAGAAAACUCUAUGUAUCUUUAGGUUUUGCUAGAAGACAUGUAGGUAAAACACUUUAAUAAGGUUUCUCUCCAGGAGAUUUAGAAAGGGUGAGGGAUUAUGUGAGAGGAGGGGUGCAAUGGGCUUUGAACUUGAUUUCUGAUUAACUCAAGAUAACUUCUAGUUUAUACCCCAUGAUGAAAAAUUGAAGUGUUUCUCUAUGGAUAUAGACAAGUAGCAUCGAAUCAUAUGGAUCUUGUAUUCACUCUUGUUUUAGGUUUAUUUUUUGUCAUUGAUUUUCUUUGGUUACAUCAGAUUUGUUGUUAGUUAGGACAUGAUUAAUUUGUCUCGUUAGAAAAUGAUCAAUUAAUUGACGGUGAAUGAAGUCGGCCAGCACGUCAAGGAUGACAAAUGGUUUCACUUAACUAUCAACCAUCUAUAAAGGUUUCAUGGUCCUCUUCUUAUCACAUUCAGGAAAAAGUCUCAUUCAUCCAAACUGUUAGUCAACAGGAUUAUGGGAGCUUAUUCAAUACUGAGUGUGGGAGUUUCUUCCAGAGAUUGAUUUCUUCCAAUCUUUCGGCCAUGGAUCCUUUACCUUGUUAGGUAACCAAUCUUGAUGUGGUGGGGAUCACAAGUGGCCACAUUUAAAAGCAAAGAAGAGAAUAAAAGCCAUUCACCAGCUAAAGGAGAAACAUCAUUGAUUUUGUCAUAACUCAUUGGGAACCGUGGGGCUCUUACAAAUUUUAUGCCAGCCUAUAUCAUAGACUGACGACUCUUCAAAGCCACAGAAAGCUGCUGCGCAACCCAUUUCACUUGUGCCUGGGGUGGGAGCUGCAACAGUUAGUUAUGGGCACAGAUAAAGAGCUGGCUUUGAAAGGUUUCUAAAGUUAUGGGCAGGGACCAAUUUGUUGCUGGCUUCUAAAUCAAUGCUUGGUAAUUGAAGCAUUCUAGGUGCUUGCUCACGUUGUCUCCAUGCGCUUUAUCUUUCUUGCUGUUUGCUUGCAGAAAGGUAAUGCGAUUCUCCUACUAGUCUAAAUGUUCUUAAAUCAAGUCAUAAAAAUAAUAUAGCCUGUCUUCUUAAUAGUCAAGUCAUAAAACCCGCACCGGAGGAAGUCAGUUAAUCCUUAUUCAUCCGGUGUUUGGCAAUGAUGGAAACAUGGAGGAGGAAGCUAAGAACACGUCGAUGAUAGGGAGAUUAUGCGCAAAACAACUGCAGUGCAGUUUGAUGUAUCCUUACUGGCUCUGAUUGGGACAAGGCUGUGAAUCGUUGUAAUGAGAGACUUUCCAGGGCACGAGUCUCGAUCAGCUGCAGCUGUGCCUUGAAACAGAGUGAGCAAAGAGGAAUAGUGGUAGUCUGGGGAUGUCAUGGAUGGGCCUCCCAGAGUCCUUUGUUCUUUUUGUCCUGGGGUCGCGGUGGUGACCAGUGGGAGGACACAAAGGCAAAGUGAAGGGAUUCUGAUGCUUGUACUCCAAAUUCUGAGGAAGGCUUCAGAGUACGGAGCACACAGUAACUCUUGGCUGCACCUCAUCAAACCCCCUCCCCUCCCUCUCUGCUCCACCUUAAAAGCAGAUAACAACACACACCCACUCUUUUUCUUUCUUUCUGUCCUUCUUUCAACUUUUACCCACCUCUCUACUCUUACUCUUACAUGAAUCAUUUCCACCGCAAAUCUUUCAACUUUGACAGUGAGUGGUCACGUAAAAGCCUUUCUAUGUUCAAAGUCUGUUGUUUGACCGCUGACAAUCUUCACACUUUUGUUGACGAACUUAAUCAUCGUUCGAUAAGUAGCUGAGGCUGAAGCAAGUUUUGGGAAACAGUCUCUCCACUUCAUGAUUGUUUUGGUUGAUCUCUGUAGAGAAUGCAUAAAAGAAAGAAAGUAGUCGUUUGUGUGUAUUUAAUGCGAUCCUUCGGCUGUUACUGGUGUAUAGUUAAUGGGCCAAAAUUGGCCUAUAGUUCUCACAUCAUCUGUCUUCUCACAGAUGAAAGUUCUUCGAGCUCUUACUUCCAAAUUCAUGGUGUGCUUAUAGCAAAUGCAUGCAUAUAUACACUUGAUUGUUUCUGAUCCUACUCUUUGCUUGUCCAUUUAGUAAUUUGAGACAGUUUUUUGCAAUCCAAUACGAUAUGAUAGUUAAUCAUCUAUUAAUUUUGUCGAGCCUUUUUUUUUAGCGUUUCUCUCGUUUCCGAUGCCAAAGCCUAGUUGAAUUUUCAUCUGUUUUCCCACCAUUUGUUCCAUUCGGGCUCCUGUUUCUUUCUGCUUGCCCAUUCAACUUCUUGAAACGUGCUCGCUCUUUUACCAUCUUCUCGGUAGUUUCCUUGGAUACCCGAAGACUACAUUCAAAGAUGUGGAUGUCUUUUACUUUAGUUUUGUUGCUUUUUGUAGAGAUAAGACACAUCAAAAUUUAUUCCCUAUAUUUCUUGGUGGCAUGCAUUAUUCCCUGAUUUGAUCUGAGAGCAGGAGGGUGGCCGUGAACGUCAAUGUUUGUCUUUUCUCGUGGUCCGAAGAACAACGAGAAAAAGGGAAGGAAAGAAGAGUAGAAAUGUUCUUUUUGUCAUAAGCUGCCCCCACACUUUUUUGCCUUGCGUCUUUGGUCACAUGCUCUUCCUUUCUUCUCCCUCAAGCUUCUAAACUGACCUUACCCUCCAGCAAAAGGUACGUACCCAAAUGCGCACAACUUCAAGUCAUAGGUGGAGAACAGCAUCCUUGGCUUCUAAAGAUCGGAAGAAAUUUUCUUUUUCUUUUCUUUUGUUUCCUUUUUCGUUGUCUUCUUUUGAUGGUACGAUGUAUUGGUGGCGGAAUGAUCGGUUUUUCUUUGUGCUACCUGAAUUAGCCUUUGAAAUAUGUUUUUUUUUUUCAAAUAAUUAUUUCAUACAUUGGUCUAACGAAAUCUUCCUUUGAUACUUCAAUCAG